GGGGGGGUCGGGGGGGGGACGGGCGGCGCCGCGCCCUUAAAACGGCCCCGAAUUGGAGGGGGGGGGGAUUGGAGCGCCUUCGGGACCGGGAAGCGGAGCGGAACCGGAGCGGAACCGGGAUCGGAACCGGGGGAUACGGAACCGGGAUCGAAGUACAGGGAUCGGAGGACCGGGAUUGGGAUCGGAAUACCGGGAUUGGGAUCGGAAUACCGGGAUUGGGAUCGGAAUACCGGGAUUGGGAGCGGAGAACCGGGAUUCGGAUCGGGACCGGGAUUGGAGUACCCGGAGCGGGGUUAAAGCACCGCUAUUGGGAUCCGGAUCCGGGAUCGGAACACCGGGACCGGGAUUGGAGUGUUGGAAGUGGGAUCGGAAUCCGGAUCCGGGUCGGAACACCGCUAUUUGGGGUCGGGAUCCGAAUAUCGGGACUGGGAUUGGAGUACCGGGAGUGAGAGUGGGGUCCGGACCGGGAUCGGAGCACCGGAACCGGGAUUGGAGUGUUGAAAGUGGGAUCGGGAUCCGAACCGGGUUGGAGAGCCGCUAUUAGGAUCCGGAUCCGGACCGGGUCCGGGAUCCGGGCCGGGAUCGGAGCACCGAGAGUGGGAUCGCAGCGCUGCUAUUGGGAUCGGACCGCGAUCCGAACCGGGAUCGGAUUGGGACUGGGAUUGGGAUCGGACCGGGAGUGGGAUUGGAACGUCGGUAACGGGAUCGGAACCGGGAUCCGUGCUGGGAUCGGAGCACCGUUAAUAGGGUCGGAACCGGGAUCUGAGCUGGGAUCAGAGCACUGUUAGUAGGAUCAGAACCGGGAUCUGAGCUGGGAUCGGAGCGCCGUUAAUAGGAUCAGAACCGGGAUCAGAGCACUGUUAGUAGGAUCAGAACCGGGAUCUGAGCUGGGAUCGGAGCGCCAUUAAUAGGAUCAGAACCGGGAUCUGAGCUCACAGCGCCAGGAUCCGGGCUGGGAAUUGGACCCCAAACGGGCCCUGAGCGCCGGCAUUGCUGGGAUUGUUGGCAUCGUUGGCUGUGGGACCCCCCCUCGUUGCCCCCCACCCCCUGCGGGCGUUGGCCUCCGGGCGUUGGGAUUGUAGGUGGGACCCCACAGCGCCGCCCCAUAGCGCCGCCCCAUAGCCCCGGCCCCCCAAGGUCACCCGGAGCCGCCGCCGGGGCCGCCAGUUGUGCCGUAGUCGGCCCUAAAGGCCACCGGGGCCACCAAAAGACCCCCCCCCAGGGCCACUGAAGACCCCCCCAGGGCCACCAAAGACCCCCCCAGGGCCACCAAAGCCACUGAGGCCACCGAAGCCAACUCCAGAGCCACUAAAACCACCAAAGGCCACCAGGGCCACUGAAGACCCCCCCAGGGCCACCAAAGACCCCCCCAGGGCCACCAAAGCCACCUCUGGAGCCGCCGAGGCCACCAAAGACCCCCCCCAGGGCCACCAAAACAGCCACCAACGCCACCUGAAGAGCCACCAAGGCCACCAAGGCCACCAAAGCCAACUCUACAGCCACCAAAGCCAACUCUACAGCCCUCAGGGCCACCAAGGCCACCUGUAGGGCCACCAAGGCCACCAAAGCCAACUCUACAGCCCUCAGAGCCACCAAAGCCAACUCUACAGCCACCAAAGCCACCAAGGCCACCAAAGCCAUCUCUACAGCCACCAAAGCCAACUGUAGAGCUACUGAAGACCCCCAAGGCCACCAAAGCCAACUCUACAGCCUCCAAAGCCAACUGUAGAGCUACUGAAGACCCCCAAAGCCAACUGUGGAGCUACUGAAGACCCCCAAAGCCAACUGUAGAGCUACUGAAGACC
rnacentral:lncRNA from 1 species